rnacentral:rRNA from 1 species
UUGGAGGGCAAGUCUGGUGCCAGCAGCCGCGGUAAUUCCAGCUCCAAUAGCGUAUAUUAAAGUUGUUGCAGUUAAAAAGCUCGUAGUUGAACUUCGGGAUCAAUUGAUUGGUCAUGCCGUUGGUAUGUACUGGUCAUAUUGGUUCUCACCUUCUAAGGAACCAUAAUGUCAUUAAUUUGAUGUUUUGGGGAAUUAGGACUGUUACCUUGAAAAAAUUAGAGUGUUUAAAGCAGGCUAACGCUUGAAUACAUUAGCAUGGAAUAAUGAAAUAGGACAUCGCAUUCUAUUUUGUUGGUUUCUAGGAUCGAUGUAAUGAUUAAUAGGGAUAGUUGGGGGCAUUAGUAUUCAAUUGUCAGAGGUGAAAUUCUUGGAUUUAUUGAAGACUAACUACUGCGAAAGCAUUUGCCAAGGAUGUUUUCAUUAAUCAAGAACGAAAGUUAGGGGAUCGAAGACGAUCAGAUACCGUCGUAGUCUUAACCAUAAACUAUGCCGACUAGGGAUCGGAUGAUGCUUAUUUUUUAAUGACUCAUUCGGCGCCUUACGGGAAAC